rnacentral:rRNA from 1 species
AUUGAACGCUGGCGGCAGGCCUAACACAUGCAAGUCGAACGAGUGGCGGACGGGUGAGUAAUGUCUGGGGAACUGCCCGAUGGAGGGGGAUAACUACUGGAAACGGUGGCUAAUACCGCAUACUAUCGGAUGUGCCCAUAUGGGAUUAGCUAGUAGGUGGGGUAAAGGCUCACCUAGGCGACGAUCCCUAGCUGGUCUGAGAGGAUGACCAGGAAACAUGGAACUGAGACAAGGUCCAGACUACGAGGGGAGGCAGCAGGGGGGAAUAUGGCACAAAGGGCGCAAGCCGGAUGAAGCCAUGCCGCGGGGAUGAAGAAGGCCUGCGGGUUGUAAAGGAAUUUAAGCGAGGAGGCGUUACUCGCAGAAGAAGCACCGGCUAACUCCGUGCCAGCAGCCGCGGUAAUUC